rnacentral:tRNA from 1 species
GGAGAGGUGGCCGAGUGGCUGAAGGCGCACGCCUGGAACGCGUGUAUGCGUUAAUAGCGUAUCGUGGGUUCGAAUCCCACCCUCUCCG